rnacentral:rRNA from 1 species
GAUGAACGCUAGCGAUAGGCUUAACACAUGCAAGUCGAGGGACCGGCGCACGGGUGCGUAACGCGUAUGCAACUUGCCUCACAGAGGGGGAUAACCCGUCGCAAGACGGACUAAUACAGCGUACUGUGUGAUAGGCAUGCGUCCCAUUAGCUAGUUGGUGAGGUAAAGGCACACCAAGGCAACGAUGGGUAGGGGAACUGAGAGGUUGAACCCGCACACUGGUACUGGGGCACGGACCAGGAGCCUGCGGGAGGCAGCAGUGAGGAAUAUUGGGCAAUGGGCGAGAGCCUGAACCAGCCAAGUCGCGUGAAGGAUGACUGUCUAUGGUUUGUAAACUUCUUUUGUAGGGGAAUAUGUGCCCUACGAAUAAGCAUCGGCUAACUCCGUGCCAGCAGCCGCGGUAAUGC